rnacentral:rRNA from 1 species
UGAUCCUGGCUCAGGAUGAACGCUAGCGGCAGGCUUAACACAUGCAAGUCGAGGGGUAACAGGGAGCUUGCUCCGCUGACGACCGGCGCACGGGUGCGUAACGCGUAUAGAACCUACCUUUUACAGAGGAAUAGCCUUUAGAAAUGAAGAUUAAUGCCUCAUGGUAUUGAGACUCGGCAUCGAGACUUAAUUAAAGAUUUAUCGGUAAAAGAUGGCUAUGCGUCCUAUUAGUUAGUUGGUGAGGUAACGGCUUACCAAGACAGCGAUAGGUAGGGGCCCUGAGAGGGGGAUCCCCCACACUGGUACUGAGACACGGACCAGACUCCUACGGGAGGCAGCAGUGAGGAAUAUUGGGCAAUGGAGGAGACUCUGACCCAGCCAUGCCGCGUGCAGGAAGACGGCCCUAUGGGUUGUAAACUGCUUUUAUACAGGAAGAAACACUAGUACGUGUACUAGCUUGACGGUACUGUAAGAAUAAGGACCGGCUAACUCCGUGCCAGCAGCCGCGGUAAUACGGAGGGUCCGAGCGUUAUCCGGAAUCAUUGGGUUUAAAGGGUCCGCAGGCGGUCAAUUAAGUCAGAGGUGAAAUACCAUAGCUCAACUAUGGAACUGCCUUUGAUACUGGUUGACUUGAGUCAUAUGGAAGUAGAUAGAAUGUGUAGUGUAGCGGUGAAAUGCAUAGAUAUUACACGGAAUACCGAUUGCGAAGGCAGUCUACUACGUAUAUACUGACGCUAAUGGACGAAAGCGUGGGGAGCAAACGGGAUUAGAUACCCCGGUAGUCCACGCCGUAAACGAUGUCAACUAGCCGUUGGGGGUCUUAGACCUUUAGUGGCGCAGCUAACGCGAUAAGUAUUCCGCCUGGGGAGUACGGCCGCAAGGUUAAAACUCAAAGGAAUUGACGGGGGCCCGCACAAGCGGUGGAGCAUGUGGUUUAAUUCGAUGCAACGCGAAGAACCUUACCAGCUCUUGACAUCCUGCGAACUUUCUAGAGAUAGAUUGGUGCCUUCGGGAACCAGGUGACAGGUGCUGCAUGGCUGUCGUCAGCUCGUGUCGUGAGAUGUUGGGUUAAGUCCCGUAACGAGCGCAACCCUUAUCUUUAGUUGCCAGCAUUUAGUUGGGCACUCUAGAGAAACUGCCGGUGACAAGCCGGAGGAAGGCGGGGAUGACGUCAAGUCCUCAUGGCCCUUAUGGGCUGGGCUACACACGUGCUACAAUGGCGGUGACAGUGGGACAAUCCCCAAAAGCCGUCUCAGUUCGGAUUGCACUCUGCAACUCGAGUGCAUGAAGUUGGAAUCGCUAGUAAUCGUGGAUCAGCAUGCCACGGUGAAUACGUUCCCGGGCCUUGUACACACCGCCCGUCACACCAUGGGAGUUGGCUUUACCCGAAGGUGGUGCGCUAACCGCAAGGAAGCAGCCAGCCACGGUAAGGUCAGCGACUGGGGUGAAGUCGUAACAAGGUAACC